rnacentral:rRNA from 1 species
CGGGGGGGGGCAAGCGUUGUUCGGAAUUACUGGGCGUAAAGGGCGCGUAGGCGGUGCUCUAAGUUAGAUGUGAAAACUCUGGGCUCAACCCAGAGCCUGCAUCUAAAACUGGAGUGCUAGAGUUCUGGAGGGGGUAGCGGAAUCCCUGGUGUAGCGGUGAAAUGCGUAGAUAUCAGGAGGAACACCGGUGGCGAAGGCGGCUACCUGGACAGAAACUGACGCUGAGGCGCGAAAGCUAGGGGAGCAAACAGGAUUAGAUACCCUGGUAGUCCUAGCCCUAAACGAUGGAUACUUGGUGUGACUGGGAUUGAAUCCAGUCGUGCCGAAGCUAACGCAUUAAGUAUCCCGCCUGGGGAGUACGGUCGCAAGGCUG